AUUUCCGGCGUUGACUCCAAUUGAACCGCAGGCUUCACCCCUUGUGGUGCUCCCCCGCCAAUUCCUUUAAGUUUCAGUCUUGCGACCGUACUCCCCAGGCGGCAGACUUAACGGCUUCCCUGCGGCACUGGGUUGGCCCGAAGCCAACCCAUCACCGAGUCUGCAUCGUUUACAGCUGGGACUACCCGGGUAUCUAAUCCGGUUUGCUCCCCCAGCUUUCAUCCCUCACCGUCGAGCGCGUUCUGGCAAACCGCCUUCGCCACUGGUGGUCUUCAGUGGAUCAGUGGAUUUUACCCCUACCCACUGAGUACCGUUUGCCUCUCCCGCCUCCUAGCCCUGUAGUAUCCUCCGCAGCCCAUCUGUUGAGCAGGUGGAUUUAACGGAGGACUUGCAGAACAAGCUACGGAUGCUUUAGGCCCAAUAAUCGUCCCGACCACUCGGGGUGCUGGUAUUACCGCGGCGGCUGACACCAGACUUGCCCACCCCUUAUUCUGCACCAUUUUUAGAGGUGCCAAAAGAUGCCCUUAGCGGGCAUCACUCAGAGUAACCUUGUCAAGCUUUCGCCUAUUGCAGAGGUUUCGCGCCUGCUGCGCCCCAUAGGGCCUGGGCCCUUGUCUCAGUGCCCAUCUCCGGGCUCCUUCUCUCAAAGCCCGUACCGGUUAUUGGUUUGGUGGGCCAUUACCCCACCAACAGCCUGAUCGGCCGCAGUCCAAUCCAGGGGCCAUAUAGGUUUCAGCCAUUGUCCAUUCCAGAAACCUUGGCCUAUCGCAGUUUAUCCUCAGUUUCCCGAGGUUAUCCACGUCCCCUGGGCAUGUUGACUACGUGUUACUGAGCCGUAUGCCACGCCUUGCGGCGUUGACUCGCAUGGCUUAGCCCCACUCUGAUAGCAGUCGGGUCCGGCAGGAUCAACCGGAAAAU
rnacentral:rRNA from 1 species